AUCACCUGGGGAUAUUGUUUAAAUGCAGAUUCUGAUUCAGUAGGUCUGGAGUGGAGCCUGAGUGUCUGCAUUUCAUACAAGCUCCCAGGUGAUACCAA
rnacentral:pre_miRNA from 1 species